GUCUCUGCUUCUCUCGCACGACAAACCGCGCCGGCGGCGGCGGCGGCAUUCACGUUCAAGGGCUUAAGCGUAAACCGCUGAUUAGUUGAAAACGCCAGGUGGCAGCAACAGCAAGACUACACGGAGGUACGACCAGACGACUGCAACGGCGAAGUGCCUAGUAUCUUUGUCGUCUGUGAGAACGCAACAAAGCAGAGAAAAGCAAAAGGAAAUAAAAUGAAUCCUUCGACGAGGAUGAUCUCGAUCCGUUACGGCAACUCAGUGCUCAAUAACGUUGACGCUGCGCGCAAGCUCACACAGUCACAGAUGGAGCUGCCGCGACGCGAGAACCUGAAUGCCAGCUUCAACUCUGAAUGGGACGACUUCAUUGAUGACUUCCCUGCCGCUGAAAUUUACUUGCACACGGAUUUUGUCGACCGCGUAUUUCCUACCUUCAAGGAUUGUGUACUAGCCAAGGAAUACGCGGAUAGCGAAAGUGCGUUCGAUGCCAGCUCGGACGAUGGCAUCCAGAGCCCGAAGCCGCAAGGAACGCUAAAGGAUGAAUCGUACCCGGUUGUAUGCAAGGUUGAUCCGAAAAACUUCAGUUCAAAGUCGGCACCUACUUCUCGCGUCCCAUAAACAACGCUUACACGUGUAAAGCUGUCGUCGAGAGACAUCCGGAAGACGUCCAAGAGACAAAAUAACAGAUAGCAACAAUGAAAAUAUAAAUCGCAGAAAAGACACAAAGUUCACUAUGAAUCCUGAUCUAGUUAGUUAGCCUGAGUCAACUAUGAUUCGAGUGAUUCUGUAUUAUGUAAUGGUUUGCAUAGCGUGUAAAAUGCGUACAUUAUUUCAGCAUACCCUAGGCUUACUUAUCUGUGGUUGAAUAAGCCUUCGAUAACCUGCUUGAUGCUUUGAAAGGCUGUUCACUUAUCAUCUCCAUCUUAGGAACAAUCCUAAUACAUGGAAAAGAAGCGGAGAAGUUCACCUAAGUAAUGAAUAUUCUAUUAGGACAACUCAAUGGCGUAACAGUUUUCUAGAAUAAUGGCGCAUCCGCGAACAGAAUUGCCCUAUAACUUCUGCAGGCCUUCAUUGUUAUUCUCACUUUGCACCGAUUUUGGACAUGUCUGCCGAACGGUGUCUCUGAAGUAUUAGGCGUCUUGCGCCCAGACGAGUUCCGAUUGUGAUAGAUCAUACAUAUUCAAUACGCAAGCCACUUUGAUAGAUACGCAUCAUUGAUAAUGCAUGCACAUACCGCUGUUCCUUCCGUCCAUAUCAAUCUAUUUGUUUAUGUCGUCCAUUUGAGUAGGCACCAUCCUGGCUUUUCCUCCGCUACCGGUGCACGUGCUACGGACCUAUGUACUUCGUAAUUACAUUGUGUACACGUUUGAACAUACACGUUGAAUACUAACACGUACCCAUGCCUCGCUGAAGCCUCCAGCUAUCAAUAUAUGCAUAUAUUUCAUGUACAAACCACAGGCAGGUCAAAAGAUGUAUAAGGCGAAACACGUACGAGAGCUACGUUGACAUUGCUAUUGAUAUAUUACUAAUGCCAUAUAUCAAAUAUAUGAUACGAAAUAGACGAUGGGAAGGUCAAUAACAAUGUAGAGUUGAAAAAUAGAAACCGUGAACUAAACGGACCCUAUCUAGCGUGAACAAUAAAGAAAGUUGCUACAAUUGGUUCCGUGUCUAUGUACAAAAUAUAUAUAACUAGUUUUUCUGAUGUAGACUUAAACAGCCCACACUUCUUUACCCGUUAUAAAACAAGUUCAUUUUUUUGUUGAAAUUACGAGUCUUUGGUAAGUUCUAACACGACGUAUAGCGGUUUUGAAGAUAACUUUCUUUUUUGUGCAAAUUUAGAUUUAGGUAAGGACAUGUACUUUGAAAUAAAAAAGAACGAAGUAAAUAAUUUUAAAGAAUAUGCUUCUAUCAACAACGAAUGCUGGUGGUUACCCUCCAAAUGUGCGAAACUCGAGUUAAGCUUUGGUUCUGCAAAUCUCUGAGACAUAACGUUAUGAAACUUAUCAGGAAUUACUGAUUGAAAAAAGACGAGAUAUAUUUAAAAUCUGAGUACUGUAUAACGAAAUCACUGGGUUGUUGGAAAUGGAUAGCAGAGUUAGGAUUGUGAAUUUGAAACAUUACGAAUAUGUUGUCUGAUGUUUUGCGAUUGUUUCGUCCAAUUUUGGGUUCUUUUCUCACUGACUAUGAAUACUCUGCGUGAGAACAAAUGCGCUUGAAGUACCAGAUGAAAGAAAUCUUUGUUAGUUGGAACGCACUAAUGAGCGCACUAAUAAGAGAUAACUACUUGGCUUCUUUUUGAUGUUCUCCAUGAAGUGAUCAUAAAAGAGGCCUGAAAUUUCCUUGAAGACUCGAAAGGAUAGUUGUACGCCAAUGCAUUUUUGGAGUUUUCUUAUAUUUUUUUACGGAAAUCGUGUCUUACAAGGAUGACGCUUGCACUCCGUUUGCCCAGUUUUUCAACGCUGGAGGCACCAAGCCGGAAGUGCAAAUUUUGACUUGUGCGCGCACGGUGAAAUCGCUUUCGCAGGGGAUAGACCAUGUGCAAUAGGCGUAAUCCUGGAAAGAAAAUAGUGAUACAGCAUAAAUCCAAACAAAAGCUGACGGUUUUUUUUUUUUAUAUAUAUACGUAUAAAUGUUUUAUAUAAAUAUUUAAUGACAUAUUCAAUCGUAGCGAAUCAUAAGUAUACUACUAAAUUCAAUACUUUAAUAGAGAUAUCCUUAUAUUAUUUUUAAUCGAAGUACUUUUAUUUAGUGGCAUGACGUGUUGAAAUGGCAUUGAUAUAUAUAUAUAUAUCAGUACCACUAUAAUACCAUAUGUAUAUAUAUUCGUGAUGAGAGACACAAUGCGGUUUAUAAAUCUAAGAAUCUCUACUAUCAAACACGUGCUCAUAAUGUGAUAUUACAUGAGAUUAAUUUAAAUCUACUAUUCGUAAACUACUAUUCGUUAACGCGCGGCUCGGCACCUCAGACAGUGUCAUAAUCCGUACAACAGCAACAUUCAGAUCGUAGUAAGGAAUAUUAGGCCAUUUUCUUAAAUUGGCCUGAUCAACACUGAUCUUAUGGAUUUUCUUUGGAAUUUUCACUAUAUUCGAUGUAGAAGACACCAAUAACUGCAUCAAUGACCCAGAACCGCCUAAUCAUAUUAGUAUGUGCCGUAUAACAUCCAUUUGUGCAUCGUGACAAUCUUGCUUAGGUAGAUAAUUUGUCGAAUUGCUAAGUGGAUCUGAUAAGAGUGUACACGUAUCAAAAAUUAGUUAAAAUGUCGAAUUAUCUUGGUAACAAUACACCCUGUUCUCUAUAGAUACAAGAGGCAGCGAGCAAAACUAAAACAGGAUUAAACGGCCAGUAGUUGUGAUUUGGAUGUCUGCUAAUCUAGCGGCGCUGUGCACGACAAGACCGGCAUUCUCCCUCUCUGUCUCCGAUCGUGAUUAACUAUAAGUGUAUAAAUACAAUGGCGGCGAUGAUGAUUGUAUGGAUCACUGAUUCGUCUGCCUCUCGCCGUGAGCUCUUAAAGCAGCAACAUUACAGCAUUACCUUUCACCGUUUGUGUAUAUUUGGGCUCAGUGCAUGCAAUGAGAAGGGAGAGACUCAUGCAAUUGUGACGUAUGGUUACUUCCGACGGCCUGGAUCAAAAACAAGUCAAAACUACCAGCUAAUAACAUAUUGGCAGCGUUUUGACCGUAUGCAUUGUAGUAUCUGUCCAUGGUAGCGCCUAGUAAAAAUGCCGCUGAUGGUACUCGAUCGUCGACUUCACGACAGCCGGACUCUUCAUGGAUCCAUGGGUGUAACUAAAAUAUAUCUAGUACAUGCAUCAUUGCUUUUCCCUGACAGCACAGAAGGGUUACAGGCUGAUGGUGGUUCUUGCUUCUCGACUGUAUUACUAAUAUAACAAAAUGAAGCUGCUUUUUGACUUUUCACAUUUACAAAUAGCAAGCUCUGUAUUCUACCUCUAUUGUGAUAGAAGUAAGGUAAAUUUCGCGAGUAGAUAUUAUUUGGUAAACAGUAAUUAAAACUUAUCUCCAUUUGUAAACGGUAGAAUGAAUACAACUACUAUAACUGUUACACAUGUAUUACAGAGAAUGUAAAAAACAUAUUCGACAUAAACAGGACGUAAAUGUCAGCAAAAACCA
rnacentral:lncRNA from 1 species